CUGCAGUCUGCUGCAGAGUUUGCUUUAUUAAAGCUCCCUGCUGCCUGCACACGUUCACUGGCACAGACAUCGAGAGACAAGCAAACACCCAAGUGCAGAGCACUCGCUGCUGCAUUGCAGGCUUUGCUGGCAUAAAAUGAUGGGGCUGAUUCAGGAUUUCUUAAUUCCCCUUGUAUUUCUCAGCAAUAGCAGCGUUUAAAAUCUUAAGACCUGAAGUUUGUGGAGGAGACUGAUGGAGGAAGGGAUGGAAGAGCUGCCAUUGCUGCUGAUUGUCACUUCAAAUCCUUGGGGAAAGUCUUCUGGAAGUGAAUGGGAACUGAUCACCUCUCUACAGACUUCUUGAGUCAUCUCACAGAGUUUAACAGAAAAUAAUUCUUUGGCUUCAAAUUGAUAUAAUGUGGCUUAAAAGUGCUUGACGAUAAAAGAUGUGUUCAUUUCUACAAUCUAAGUUAUCAGUUGGGAUAAAUUAACUCUCUGAAUUCUGUGCAAUUCUGUAUGUGCACAAUCUCUGAAUAGGUAGAUUUUCAUAUGUGUAUUUGCACUGCUUUAGUAGUUCCAUCUCUGGGGCUUUCACAAAAAGAUAACAGCCAUUUUUACAUUUGCUUGAGGCCUGACUGAAGAGUUUAUCUCCAUGUAAAUUUUCCAGCCCAGUUGUGAAACCUCUGAAAUGGAUUGUACGGAAAGUUUUGAUGAAACUUAACUAUAGUUGGAUACUUGGUUGCUGCAAGGAAAAAUCCCCCAGUCACUGUUAGUGGGUGAGCAGCCUGGCUUUCCUCCCUCCAUUCUUCACUGUAAUGUUCAUUAACAUAAGAGUUGGUGUUUUGCUCCCCACACAUGGAUGCCAUACUGUUUGAACUCCAGGAGGCUGCUGGAAUAAAGGCAUGUAUACAGGUCU